rnacentral:lncRNA from 1 species
CAUUUUCCGAUCAUUAAUUUGUUCUCUAAUUUGACCCAAAAUGCUGACUCUGCUGUCAGAAUCUUACAGCUUUCUCAUCUUAUGAUUUUUUUUUUCAGCUGCUCCCUCGAGGUCUCCAGAAACUCUGAGUCCAAAGUUGCCUGUGGGGCUUUGAUGGGAGCAUGAGAUCCUUCUGCUCUUGGGCCUGGUUUCUUUCUACUCAGGUAGAUGUGAGCUGCACAAUCCCUCUUGGAUUCACCUCUUCCUGCUGAGUCCCUCUACAAGGUGCAGACUGAACACCUUGAGAUACUGCUCUCAAUGCCCAGUGACAGAGAAAAAGCUGUUUUUCCACAAUUUUUGUGUGUUCAUUGCCUCCGGGCCCAGAGGCUUCCACAGGUCCAGGGGAUAUGUAUCACAACCAGUGUGGAGUGGAGAUUUUCUGCAGAGAUUAGGCCACUGGAGUGAUCCCAGAACUGUAAAUUCUUGAGUCUAGUCCUAGCUCAGCCCUGUGGU